rnacentral:rRNA from 1 species
GAUUUCUGGCUUGAAACAUUUUGCCGGCCACGGUUUCGUGUGUUAGUGCAUUGGUGUUCUGGCCAUCCUUCCAAUCGCUAUUUGUCUUUCUUCAUUGAUGGGCAAGUGGUAUUGGAUCUUUUACUUUGAAAAAAUUAGAGUGUUUCAAGCAGGCUUUAUGCUAUGAAUACAUUAGCAUGGAAUAAUAAUUUAGGACUUCGGUUCUAUUUUGUUGGUUUCUAGGACUGAAGUAAUGAUUGAUAGGGAUAGUUGGGGGUGCUAGUAUUCAGCGGCCAGAGGUGAAAUUCUCGGAUUCGCUGAAGACUAACUUAUGCGAAAGCAUU